UAGCAAUAGUAAAGAUGGCGACCGGCGCACGGGUGAGUAACACGUAUCCAACCUGCCGAUAACUCGGGGAUAGCCUUUCGAAAGAAAGAUUAAUAUCCGAUAGUAUAUUUUCUCCGCAUGGCGAGAAUAUUAAAGAAUUUCGGUUAUCGAUGGGGAUGCGUUCCAUUAGGCAGUUGGUGAGGUAACGGCUCACCAAACCUUCGAUGGAUAGGGGUUCUGAGAGGAAGGUCCCCCACAUUGGAACUGAGACACGGUCCAAACUCCUACGGGAGGCAGCAGUGAGGAAUAUUGGUCAAUGGGCGCGAGCCUGAACCAGCCAAGUAGCGUGAGGGAUGAAGGCUCUAUGGGUCGUAAACCUCUUUUAUAUGGGAAUAAAGUUUUCCACGUGUGGAAUUUUGUAUGUACCAUAUGAAUAAGGAUCGGCUAACUCCGUGCCAGCAGCCGCGGUAAUACGGAGGAUCCGAGCGUUAUCCGGAUUUAUUGGGUUUAAAGGGAGCGUAGGUGGAUUGUUAAGUCAGUUGUGAAAGUUUGCGGCUCAACCGUAAAAUUGCAGUUGAAACUGGCAGUCUUGAGUACAGUAGAGGUGGGCGGAAUUCGUGGUGUAGCGGUGAAAUGCUUAGAUAUCACGAAGAACUCCGAUUGCGAAGGCAGCUCACUAGACUGUCACUGACACUGAUGCUCGAAAGUGUGGGUAUCAAA
rnacentral:rRNA from 1 species